rnacentral:rRNA from 1 species
AAAGGACUUUGAAAAGAGAGUUAAAAAGUGCGUGAAACUGCAUACUGAAAAGCGAAUGAGUACGCGUUGGUCCAGGUUGUUGCUAUUCAGGUGCGAUUAGGAAGCAUCUUUAAAUGUCAUAUAUUGGUGUUUAAAGUGUUUUUAAUGGUACUGUAUUUAGCCAACCGGCAUUCUGCUUGGUUUUGUUUUGGCUGCGCCUUUGCUAAGGCACUCCUUCAUCUUGCAUGGUAGGUGGAAUUAGUAGUCGUGUUGCUUAAAGCACACGCGGAGAAGGCUAUUUUGCGAUAAAAAUGGUGGUCAGUCAAGAUGAAACUUGACAAACUCUUAUUCUGGCGACCUAUUGAUUGUCGUUCCAGCUGGUUGUGAGGGAGUGGCAUGCUUUUGCAUGUCACUAUAAUGUUACGGUCAGAGAUUGGAUAGGCGUUAUCGGUCGAUUGAAUGCAAAAGCAGAUAUAGUUGCGGCAUCAUUCGAACCGUCUUGAAACACGGGCUAAGGAGUUCAACAGAUGCGCGAGUCCACUGGUAACGCGAAACCAGAUUGGCUUAGUUAACGCGAGUUUGUGAUUGAUUGUGAUAACUUGGUUGCUUAUAAGCACUAAGAUCAUCACUUAUGAUGGAUGGCAUAUUAAGUACCGAUUGUCGUUCGCAAUUGAGCGCAUAUGCUGAGACCCGAAAGAUGGUGAACUAUGCCUGAGUAGGAUGAAGCCGGAGGAAACUCUGGUGGAGGUCCGAAGCGUUUUUGACGUGCAAAUCAAUCGUCAGACUUGGGUAUAGGGGGCGAAAGACUAAUCGAACCAUCUAGUAGCUGGUUCCCUUCCAA